GGGGCCUAUAGACAUUUUAAAAAUGUCUAGUUGUUCUUGCCGGCGGUAGGAUUUGAACUCCGGACCACCGGCAUGCGAGGCAAACACACUACCACCUGCGCUACGCCGGCCCCCGGCGUAGCGCAGGCGUAUUUUUGAAAUAUAAUUUUGUCAAAAAAAAAUUAUUUUUGACUUAAGAUUUAGAAGGUGACAUUUCGAUAGUAAAUUUAAUUUUAAACAACUUUUGUGUAGAUGUAUAUGUACAAAAAAUGCAUAAAGUUCACCCUAAUGUACCCUAGUGUACAGGGACUAAUUCGCCCAUAUUUCAAAAAUGCACCUCUUUAAAUGGUAGCACUCCGUGAGUUUUUCAUACUUAGCGAUCUUAAAAACACGUGUUUGAAUUUUCGCCCCUAUUUCAAAAAUGCACCUCUUUAAAUGGUAGCACUCCGCGAGUUUUUCAUACUUAGCGAUCUUAAAAACACGUGUGUGAAUUUUAGUCACUGUACAGGGACUAAUUCGCCCCUAUUUCAAAAAUGCACCUCUUUAAAUGGUAGCACUCCGCGGGUUUUUCAUACUUAGCGUUCUUAAAAACACGUGUGUGAAUUUUAGUCACGUUUAAUUCAACAAAUAUUUCGAUAAAAAUGUAUAUAUGUACUUCCUUUUUUAAAUAUCUCUUGGAAGUGAAACAUAAAUAAUUAUAAAGUAAACAAUUUAUUAUUGAUGUUUUGACUUACAGAUAACAGUUGUUUUCAAAAUACUUUUUUGAAACAAAAACUAUCUUCGUUCUGAUGCAUUAAAUUGUAUCUGAGGAUCUAAUUUUAGUACCUCUAUUAUGCCAAUAAACUUCGAACUUUUAUUUUUGGAAUCCAUUGGAAGAUAACAAACCGAAUAUAUACCGAAUCAACUACUCAAACGAAGCAUAAAAGCAGAUCCAAAUAGGUUAACUCAACCUCUGACUAACACGACUUCCAAUAAACAAUAACAAAUAGGUUAACUCAACCUCUGACUAACACGACUUCCAAUAAACAAUAAGAUGAAUGAUCAUUCAAUAUUCGCUUGUCCACCGCUGGACAUAGGUCUCCCUCAAUUUUUCAUCUGUUACGAUCUUGUGCCUCUUGCAUCCAGUUCAUAUGACAACGUUUUAGAUAAUCAGCCCAACGUGUUGGUGGUCGACCUCUGCUUCGGUAGGCAUUAUCUCUUGGUCUCUAUUCCAGUAUCCACUUUGUCCAUUUGUUAACAGAUGGACAAAUAACAUUAAUAAAGAAUGAUAAAACGCAGCAAAUAAGGCAA
rnacentral:lncRNA from 1 species